CCUACGGGAGGCUGCAGUGGGGAAUAUUGGGCAAUGGGCGCAAGCCUGACCCAGCAACGCCGCGUGAAGGAAGAAGGCUUUCGGGUUGUAAACUUCUUUUAAGAGGGAAGAGCAGAAGACGGUACCUCUUGAAUAAGCCACGGCUAACUACGUGCCAGCAGCCGCGGUAAUACGUAGGUGGCAAGCGUUGUCCGGAUUUACUGGGUGUAAAGGGCGUGCAGCCGGGAAGACAAGUCAGCGGUAAAAUGUCGGGGCUCAACCCCGGCCGGCCGUUGAAACUGGUUUUCUAGAGUUGGAGAGAGGUAUGCGGAAUUCGUGGUGUAGCGGUGAAAUGCAUAGAUAUAACGAAGAACUCCGAUUGCGAAGGCAGCAUACCGGCUCCAUACUGACGCUGAGGCACGAAAGCGUGGGGAUCGAACAGGAUUAGAUACCCGGGUAGUC
rnacentral:rRNA from 1 species